CCUACGGGGCGCAGCAGUGAGGAAUAUUGGUCAAUGGGAGAGAUCCUGAACCAGCCAAGCCGCGUGAGGGAAGACGGCCCUAUGGGUUGUAAACCUCUUUUGUCGGAGAACAAAACCCGGGACGAGUCCCGGACUGCGUGUAUCCGAAGAAAAAGCAUCGGCUAACUCCGUGCCAGCAGCCGCGGUAAUACGGAGGAUGCGAGCGUUAUCCGGAUUUAGUGUGUUUAAAGGGUGCGUAGGCGGUCUGUUAAGUCAGCGGUAAAAUGGCGGGGCUCAACCCCGUCGAGCCGUUGAAACUGGCUGACUUGAGUUGGCGAGAAGUACGCGGAAUGCGCGGUGUAGCGGUGAAAUGCAUAGAUAUCGCGCAGAACUCCGAUUGCGAAGGCAGCGUACCGGCGCCAGACUGACGCUGAGGCACGAAAGCGUGGGGAUCGAACAGGAUUAGAUACCCUUGUAGUC
rnacentral:rRNA from 1 species